rnacentral:rRNA from 1 species
UACGUAGGGGGCAAGCGUUGUCCGGAAUCAUUGGGCGUAAAGAGCUCGUAGGCGGUGUGUCGCGUCGGUCGUGAAAACUUGGGGCUUAACCCUGAGCUUGCGGUCGAUACGGGCAUCACUGGAGUUCGGCAGGGGAGACUGGAAUUCCUGGUGUAGCGGUGAAAUGCGCAGAUAUCAGGAGGAACACCGGUGGCGAAGGCGGGUCUCUGGGCCGAUACUGACGCUGAGGAGCGAAAGCGUGGGGAGCGAACAGG